GACGAACGCUGGCGGCGUGCUUAACACAUGCAAGUCGAACGGAAAGGCCCUGCUUUUGUGGGGUGCUCGAGUGGCGAACGGGUGAGUAACACGUGAGUAACCUGCCCUUGACUUUGGGAUAACUUCAGGAAACUGGGGCGAAUACCGGAUAGGAGCUCCUGCUGCAUGGUGGGGGGUGGAAAGUUUCGGCGGUUGGGGAUGGACUCGCGGCUUAUCAGCUUGUUGGUGGGGUAGUGGCUUACCAAGGCUUUGACGGGUGGCCGGCCUGAGAGGGUGACCGGCCACAUUGCGCCUGAGAUACGGCCCAGACUCCUACGGGAGGCAGCAGUGGGGAAUAUUGCACAAUGGGCGGAAGCCUGAUGCAGCAACGCCGCGUGCGGGAUGACGGCCUUCGGGUUGUAAACCGCUUUCGCCUGUGACGAAGCGUGAGUGACGGUAAUGGGUAAAGAAGCACCGGCUAACUACGUG
rnacentral:rRNA from 1 species